rnacentral:tRNA from 1 species
GAUCCGCUAGCUCAGUAGGUAGAGCAACUGCCUUUUAAGCAGUGGGUCUGGAGUUCGAAUCUCCAGCGGGUCACCA